AGUGAACGCUGGCGGUAGGCCUAACACAUGCAAGUCGAACGGAAGGACGGUAAGAGCUUGCUCUUGAGGGUGGCGAGGGGCGGGCGGGUGAGGCGUGGAUCGGCAUCUUCUUUUUCGGGGGGGAUAACGGGGGGAAACUUACGAUAAUACCGAAUAUGUUCUACGGGUUGAAGCAAAGGAUCUUCAGAGCUUGCCCGUUUGUAUUAGCCGAUGUCGGAUUAGCUAGUUGGCGGGGUAAAGGCACACCAAGGCGACGAUCCGUAGCUGGUCUGAGAGGAUGAUCAGCCACACUGGAACUGAGACACGGUCCAGACUCCUACGGGAGGCAGCAGUAGGGAAUCUUCGACAAUGGGCGCAAGCCUGACCGAGCCACACCGCGUGGGUGAUGAAGGCCUUCGGAUCGUAAAGCUCUUUUGUUGGGAAAGAAAAGCAGUAGGUGAAAACGUGGCCGUCCUGACGGUACCCAAAGAAUAAGCACCGGCUAACUUCGUG
rnacentral:rRNA from 1 species